CACCUCUGCUCUGGAAGGAUCAGGCACAACCACAGUCUCCAAAACCUGCACCUCUGCAGACUCAGCCACUGCUCAGUGCUGGGACCAUAGAGCAUUUGUCCCUGCCCUGCUCUGAGCAGACAGCAUUGCCAGGUGAGGUGUGUUCAAUUGUUUAACUAAAUGACAAAGAUGACUUUUGUGGCUGGUCAUGUUCUCUCUGACUGCCACCCCCACAAAGAUAAAUGCUCACCCGCGCAUGAUGCGCCUCAGAAGAGGCAUAUCAUGCAUCUAGCAUCAUUAUCAAUAUAUCAACAUUGCUAAGAGCACUACUAUCUAUUCAAAAGCAAAUUUGAAGAAAAAGAAAAAGGAAAUAAGAAUUAAAGAGAAUUACUCACAGAUUUGCAGAAUUUCUCUGCAGAGACACAAGUCUCACAAUGCUUCCAGGCAUUUGACCUCAACACACAUCAAAAGUCAACAUCUCUCAGCUUGGAGGCACAACAUUCACACAGAAUCCGACUGUUGUGUGUCACGUGAUUAGGGCUAGGGCAAUAUAACAAGCGAACAGUGAAUGGCGCUAUACGGAAACAAGCUAGUGGCGCACGUGACCACACUAAUAACACCACUGACAAGGAACACCAGCAAUAAUACACAAUAAGCACCAGCGAGGAAACAACUUACUUAAAAUUGAAAUAACUGAGGGAGCCCAUUUCGAUAUAAAAAGAGGGGAGGGAGAAUGAUGAUAUAAAAAAUUUAAAAAUUUUUUAUUGGAGAUGAAAAAUCACAGCAGAAUGGGAAGAAGUUUUGAUGAUGGUCAAGUUAAAAAAGAAGAGAAAUCUUCAAGAGGAAAGAAAUUCUUUUUGCUUCUCUGCACACAACCCCUGGCAAUCAAAGAAUCCACCAAUUCCACCUCAUUAGAAAAUCGAUAACAACGCGUAUACAAGCUAUCUAGGGGAUGUGAUUGAUACACUACAGAAAUGUGAUUAUCUACUAGCAAGC
rnacentral:sRNA from 1 species